rnacentral:rRNA from 1 species
AACGAACGCUGGCGGCGUGCCUAACACAUGCAAGUCGAACGAGAAAGGGGCUUCGGCCCUGAGUAAAGUGGCGCACGGGUGAGUAACACGUAGGUAACCUGCCUUUAAGAUUGGGAUAACCUGUCGAAAGACGAGCUAAUACCAAAUAAGACCACGGUCUCUUCGGAGACUGAGGUCAAAGGUAGCCUCUAUUUAUAAGCUAUCGCUUGAAGAUGGGCCUGCGUACCAUUAGCAGUUGGUGAGGUAACGGCUCACCAAGGCAAAGAUGGUUAGCUGGUCUGAGAGGAUGAUCAGCCACACUGGAACUGAGACACGGUCCAGACUCCUACGGGAGGCAGCAGUGGGGAAUAUUGCGCAAUGGGCG